AACGAACGCUGGCGGCAGGCCUAACACAUGCAAGUCGAACGAACCUUCGGGUUAGUGGCGCACGGGUGAGUAACACGUGGGAAUCUACCUUUGAGUUGGGAAUAACCAUUGGAAACGAUGGCUAAUACCCAAUACGUCCUUCGGAGAAAGAUUUAUCGCUCAGAGAUGAGCCCGCGUCCAAUUAGCUAGUUGGUGAGGUAAGAGCUCACCAAGGCGACGAUUGGUAGCUGUUCUGAGAGGAAGAUCAGCCACACUGGUACUGAGACACGGACCAGACUCCUACGGGAGGCAGCAGUGGGGAAUAUUGGACAAUGGGCGAAAGCCUGAUCCAGCCAUGCCGCGUGAAUGAUGAAGGCCUUAGGGUUGUAAAGUUCUUUCAACGGUGAAGAUGAUGACGGUAGCCGUAGAAGAAGCCCCGGCUAACUCCGUGCCAGCAGCCGCGGUAA
rnacentral:rRNA from 1 species